rnacentral:rRNA from 1 species
UGGGGAAUAUUGCACAAUGGGGGAAACCCUGAUGCAGCGACGCCGCGUGAGCGAAGAAGGUUUUCGAAUCGUAAAGCUCUGUCCUAUGAGAAGAUAAUGACGGUACCAUAAGAAAAAGCCCCGGCUAACUACGUGCCAGCAGCCGCGGUAAUACGUAGGGGGCUAGCGUUGUCCGGAAUCACUGGGCGUAAAGGGUUCGCAGGCGGAAAUGCAAGUCAGGUGUAAAAGGCAGUAGCUUAACUACUGUAAGCAUUUGAAACUGCAUAUCUUGAGAAGAGUAGAGGUAAGUGGAAUUUUUAGUGUAGCGGUGAAAUGCGUAGAUAUUAAAAAGAAUACCGGUGGCGAAGGCGACUUACUGGGCUCAUUCUGACGCUGAGGAACGAAAGCGUGGGUAGCAAACAGG